GACGAACGCUGGCGGCGUGCUUAACACAUGCAAGUCGAACGGACAGGCCCUGCUUUUGUUGGGUGCUCGAUUGGCGAACGGGUGAGUAACACGUGAGUAACCUGCCCUUGACUUUGGGAUAACUUCAGGAAACUGGGGCUCAUACCGGAUAUGAUCUCCUGCUGCAUGGUGUGCGUUGGAAAGUUUCGGCGGUUGUGGAUGGACUCGCGGCUUAUCAGCUUGUUGGUGGGGUAGUGGCUUACCAAGGCUUUGACGGGUAGCCGGCAUGGGAGGUUGACCGGCGACCAGAGGACUGAGAUAGGGCCCAGAAUGCUACGGGAGGCAGCAGGGGGGAAUAUUGCACAAUGGGCGGAAGCCUGAUGCAGCAACGCCGCGUGCGGGAUAACGGCCUUCGGGGGGUAAACAGAUUUCGCCUGUGACGAAGCGUGAGUGACGGUAAUGGGUAAAGAAGCAACGGCUAACUACGUG
rnacentral:rRNA from 1 species